UAUUACCGCAGAAGUGGGCAGCGGCCCGAAGUCCUUUCUUAUUACCAAAACCCCGACUCCACAGCAAGUCAUCCGCUACCGUCUCCUCGUACCCCGGGUUUCUAAAAUCUCUCUCCGCCGGCGAUGACUCUUGCGAUGAAUCCCUCCUCCAUAACCUACAGGAGCUCUCUCGGUCGCGCCCUCUCCUCCUCCUCCUCUCCCAAAUCCACUCCUCUCGCGAUCGGCGGCUUCUUGAUCCUCCUCCUGUUCCUAACAAUCGCGGCGGAGGUGGAUGCGGCUCCAUUGGGGAUUCGCAAAAGUGGGAAAUCGUCAGUCUUUUCGUUGUUCAACCUUAAAGGGAAGAGUAAAUUCUGGAGCGAAGAUGUGAUUCGUGGUGAUUUUGAUGAUUUGGAAAGUUCGAUAUCUUCUGACUCCGGGAAAAUGGCAGUGUUCAACUACACAAAGGCAGGUAAUAUUGCAAAUUAUUUGAAGCUUUCAGAGGUUGAUUCUAUAUACCUCCCUAUCCCAGUGAAUUUCAUCUUCAUAGGAUUUGAAGGAAAAGGGAACCAUGAGUUUAAGCUGGGACCUGAGGAACUUGAACGGUGGUUCACCAAGAUUGACCACAUUUUUGAACAUACACGAGUGCCUCCAAUUGGGGAGGUUCUUACACCUUUUUACAAGAUUAGCAUCGAGAAAGUUCAACAUCAUCAUCUUCCUCUCAUCAGUCACGUAAACUACAACUUUUCUGUGCAUGCUAUACAUAUGGGAGAAAAAGUUACUUCUGUUUUCAAUUAUGCCAUAAAAGCUCUAUCGCGUAAAGAAGAUAUUUCAGAUUCCAGGGAGGAUGAAGAAGUUCUUUGGCAAGUUGACAUUGAUAGGAUGGAGUAUCUUUUUGCAACUCUCAUCGAGUAUCUUCAGAUUGAGGAUGCAUACAAUAUUUUUGUUCUCAAUCCAAAGCAUAAUGAUAGACGGGUUCACUAUGGUUAUCGGAGAGGCUUGUCUGAGUCAGAGAUCAGCUUUCUCAAGGAGAAUAAAACCCUGCAAGCCAAAAUUCUCCAAUCAGAAAGUGUCACUGGCAGUUCUCUUGAAAUUGAUAGGGGUAAGAGUCCAAGGCCUUUGUAUGUAAAUCGACCUACAUCAACUUUUGCGUGGACCACAACUGAAGAUAUUGAUACUACGGAAUGGUCGAAGAGGUGUUUAGAUGCCUUGACCAGUGCCGAGAAAGUGAAUGAUGGAAAGGAUUAUGCUGAGAUUGUUUAUAACAAAGCUGUUCAGAUGUUACAUGAGAAACAGGAUCAUAUAAAUCUUCUUUUCGAAAAAGAGCUAAAAUCUGGGGAUUUAAAGGGUCUCCAUCCUGAGUGUCUUACAGAUACAUGGAUAGGCAGAGAUAGGUGGGCAUUCAUUGAUCUGACUGCAGGACCAUUUUCCUGGGGUCCAUCCGUUGGUGGAGAAGGUGUCCGUACUGAACUGAGUUUACCAAAUGUUGGGAAAACUAUUGGUGCAGUUGCAGAAAUUACGGAAGAUGAAGCUGAAGAUAAAUUGCAAGAUGCAAUCAGAGAAAGAUUUUCAUCAUUUGGUAAUGAUCAUCAAGCCAUUGAUAUCCUUUUAGCAGAAAUUGAUAUUUAUGAAAUUUUUGCUUUUAAACAUUGCAAGGGAAGAAGGGUCAAGCUGGCUCUGUGUGAAGAGCUUGAUGAGAGGAUGCGUGAUUUGAAAAAUGAGCUGGAGGGAUACAACAGUGAGGAAUAUGAUGAGACACAUAAGAGAAAAGCUCUUGAUGCAUUAAAGCGAAUGGAAAAUUGGAAUUUGUUCCGUGAUACUUAUGAGGAAUAUCACAAUUACACAGUUGCUCGUGAUUCAUUUCUUGCCCAUCUUGGGGCUACAUUAUGGGGUUCUAUGAGGCAUGUAAUUGCCCCCUCAAUCGCUGACAGGGCAUACCAUUACUACGAGAAGAUAUCAUUUCAGAUCUAUUUCAUCACACAGGAGAAAGUGAGGGAUGUCAAAAAGUUGCCUGUGAACCUAAAGUCUUUGAUGGAUGGCCUUUCUUCUUUGAAGCUACCUUCUCAAAAGAUCAUGUUUAGCCAACACUGGCUAUCACUUUCUGAGGAACCUGCUCUGACAAUGGCCUUCUCAGUGGCCCGACGUGCAGCUGCUGUCCCUCUUUUGCUGGUCAAUGGCACUUAUAGGUCAACUGUUCGUGCCUAUCUGGAUUCCUCCAUUCUUCAACGUCAACUUCAGAGGCUAAAUGUUCAUGGUUCACUUAAAGGAACACACCUGAAUGCCAGGUCGACACUAGAAGUUCCAAUAUUCUGGUUCAUACAUAAUGAUCCAUUAUUGGUGGACAAACAUUAUCAAGCAAAGGCACUUCCUGACAUGAUUAUAGUUGUCCAGUCUGAGACAUCAUCUUGGGAGAGCCACUUGCAGUGCAAUGGGAGGUCACUUCUAUGGGACUUGAGGAGGCCUGUAAAAGCAGCCAUCACUGCUACUGCUGAGCAUCUAGCUGGUUUGCUUCCUCUCCACCUGGUUUACAGUCAAGCCCAUGAAACUGCUAUUGAGGAUUGGACAUGGUCUGUUGGCUGCAAUCCUCUGUCAAUCACUUCUCAAGGCUGGCAUCUUUCACAGUUUCAGUCAGACGUGAUUGCUCGGAGCUAUAUCAUCACUGCUCUUGAGGAGUCUAUACAAGCUGUUAAUGCAGCUAUUCACCGUCUGGUUAUGGAGCGUACGACCGCACAGGGUUUUAAGCUAUUCAAAACUCAGGAGCGAUUACUGGUGGAAAAGUACAAUUCAAUUGUUAGUUUAUGGAGGAGAAUUUCGACAAUCUCUGCCGGGCUGCGUUAUGGUGAUGCUGUGAAGCUUCUAUCCUUGCUUGAGGAUGCUUCCCGCGGGUUUACAGAUGUUGUGAAUUCCACCAUUGCCACGCUGCAUCCUAUUCAUUGCACUCGAGAAAAGAAAGUGGAUGUAGAAUUUGACCUGACCACGAUCCCUGCAUUUUUGGUGGUUUUUGCAAUUCUCUGGUUUGUUCUAAGACCAAGGAGGCCAAAACCCAAGAUCAAUUGAGGGCUAUAUAAAGCUACAACGGUAGCAAAGUUGUAUGUCUGCAGAUCAAGAUGAGUAGAUGACAGUUUUCUGAAAUUUUGUGUUGCAUGGAUUACAUCCAGCUACGACAUUUCUGGUUCUCAUGGUUUACAUAAUAUUGGACGUCUGCAAGUGGUGUAAUCUGGGUUCCUAGGCUGUGGGCAGGUGCACUGGAGCUGAUACGAAUCAUCAUGGCGGCCGUCAUCUCUCCAGUGCAUGUUAUUUUUAAAGUUACCAUCCAUUGGAAAAAGAUCAUUAUUCGUUAGGUAGUAUAUGCCCUUUUGGGGAUUGUUUUUUCUUCAAAAUUUGAGUUUUGAAAGAAAGUUUCAUUUCUCUUUUAAAAAGAAAGUGUUGUUUUAUUUUAAAAAAGGCUGUUGCUUAUGUUAUUAUAAUAUGAAGGCUGCAUUUGGAGGUUUUU